rnacentral:tRNA from 1 species
UGUAUCGGGCGGGAAUCGAACCCUGGCCGCCCGCGUGGCAGGCGAGCAUUCUACCACUGAACCACCGAUGC